rnacentral:misc_RNA from 1 species
UACGUAGGGGGCAAGCGUUGUCCGGAUUUACUGGGUGUAAAGGGAGUGCAGGUGGCAGUACAAGUCAGGAGUGAAAACCCGGGGCUCAACCCCGGGACUGCUCUUGAAACUGUACAGCUUGAGUGCAGGAGGGGCAGGCGGAAUUCCUAGUGUAGCGGUGAAAUGCGUAGAUAUUAGGAGGAACACCGGUGGCGAAGGCGGCCUGCUGGACUGUAACUGACACUGAGGCUCGAAAGCGUGGGGAGCAAACAGG